rnacentral:rRNA from 1 species
GACGAACGCUGGCGGCGUGCCUAAUACAUGCAAGUUGAGCGCUGAAGGAUUGUGCUUGUACCAACUCGGUGAGCAGCGAACGGGUGAGUAACGCGUGGGGAAUCAGCCAUUUAGCGGGGGAGAACAUUGGGAAAAGAAUGCUAAUAACGCAUAAAAACUUUAACCACAAGUAUUAAGUUUGAAAGAUGCAAUGCCAUAACUCAAAAAUGAUCCCGCGUUGUAUUAGGUAGUUGGUGAGGUAAAGGCCCACCAAGGCGAAGAUACAUAGCCGAGCUGAGAGGGAGGACCGGCCACUUUGGACUUGGACACGGCUCAAACCCCUACCGGGAGCAGCCGUAGGGAAUCUUUGGCAAUUGACGAAAGUCUUACCCAGCAAAGCCGCGUGAGUUAAGGAGGUUUUUCGAUCGUAAAACUCUGUUUGUAGAGAAGAACGUGGAUGAGAGUGGAACGCCCAUGAAGUGACGGUAACUACACAGAAAGCGACGGCUAACUACGUG